GGCUCAGGACGAACACUGGCGGCGUGCUUAACACAUGCAAGUCGAACGGUGAACCGGGCUUCGGCCCGGGGAUCAGUGGCGAACGGGUGCGUAACACGUGGGCAACCUGCCCCAGACUCUGGGAUAACUCCGGGAAACCGGGGCUAAUACCGGAUACUCUCGGCUGACCGCAUGAUUGGCUGAGGAAAGCUCCGACGGUCUGGGAUGGGCCCGCGGCCUAUCAGCUUGUUGGUGGGGUCACGGCCUACCAAGGCUUCGACGGGUAGCUGGUCUGAGAGGACGACCAGCCACACUGGGACUGAGAUACGGCCCAGACUCCUACGGGAGGCAGCAGUGGGGAAUCUUGCGCAAUGGGCGAAAGCCUGACGCAGCGACGCCGCGUGGGGGAUGAAGGCCCUCGGGUUGUAAACCCCUUUCGGCAGGGACGAAGCGAUCACGUGACGGUACCUGCAGAAGAAGCCCCGGCUAACUACGUGCCAGCAGCCGCGGUAAGACGUAGGGGGCGAGCGUUGUCCGGAAUCAUUGGGCGUAAAGAGCGCGCAGGCGGCUUGGUAAGUCGGAUGUGAAAACCCGAGGCUCAACCUCGGGCGUGCAUCCGAUACUGCCCGGCUAGAGGUAGGUAGGGGAGAUCGGAAUUCCUGGUGUAGCGGUGAAAUGCGCAGAUAUCAGGAGGAACACCGGUGGCGAAGGCGGAUCUCUGGGCCUUACCUGACGCUCAGGCGCGAAAGCUAGGGGAGCGAACAGGAUUAGAUACCCUGGUAGUCCUAGCCGUAAACGUUGGGUGCUAGGUGUGGGCGGAUAUUGACCCCGUCCGUGCCGAAGCUAACGCAUUAAGCACCCCGCCUGGG
rnacentral:rRNA from 1 species